UUGGGGAAUCUAAUUAAGUUAGUUAAAAAUUAUAAAGUUAGAAUUAAAUAACAAACAAUAAAUAAUCACAAUUAAAUAAUUAAAGAGUAAGAGAGAAAUUGAAUUUGGGCCUCCUUUGGGUCAAUUUCGCUGGAUUUUUUUGGGUUUUAACCCAAUCCCCAAAUAAUUAUAAUUAAAUAAUUUAAGAGUAACGGGGAGAAGUUGAAUUUGGGCCUUUCUUGGGCCAAAUUCGUUGAUACUUUUUGGGGUUUAACCAAAACCCGUUUUUGGUAUACAGCUGGUGUAUAUCAAUGUAUAUCGGCAUGUAUAUCAGCUCUUUUCGUGUAUCUCCUGCUUCCAAACCCCUGUAUUUUACUUUUGGACCUGUAUAUCGAUAUUCACCAUGUAUACCGGUGUAUACUGUUGUAUGCAGCAUGUAUACUGCCCAUUUUCGGUCUUUCUGUACACCUGUUUUCAAUUUUCAGCUCGUAUAAAAUUGUUGUUGACUCGAUGGAGAAGAUGUUGGGUUUCUUCCCAACCCGUGAUGCAAGGAGAGUAACGAAGGGAGUCCAAUGGACUCGAACCGAGAGGGUUCAUGCAAGAAAAGAAGGAUAAAGAUUAACUAGAGAUAACUUCAAGAGGCAACCAUAUUUUAGUUAGAAUUAACCACGAUAAGAAUCAUUCUUACCCCUUGUAGAUUAUCAUAAAUAAUAGGUAGAAUGAACUCCCUUUGAAAUAAUAUUAGUUCAUAUGGGCGUAAUGUUAAAUCAUCUAAUAGGUUCAAUAGACAUAACUAAAACAAUCUAGACAUUCAACUCAAUUGUAGACAAUCAAAAUAAUAUCACAUGCGUAUGAAAUAAAUAUUAUGUAGAGUACAAAUCAUUCUUAACCAAUAUGUUGUUACAUACAAUUUACAACAAGGCUUUAGACUUUAAUAUUACAUGUAUCAGGUAUUGUAACCAGUGAAGGCAAUAUUAAACAUAUAAAGAAGAAUGAAGGCUGGCAGCCCUCUCCUAGGUAACAUGGAAAUUAUUUGGUCCUCUUGAAUGCCCAGAAAAGCCAUUAGAAGACACAAUACAAAAUUUAUAGGCCACACUUAAUAUAUUACAAGAAAACAAUGUGUUAUAGACCAUAAACCAUCAAGGAAGAAAAGAGACUAUAAUUGUGGUCGUGUUCACGCUAUCAAGAUGUAUUGCAAUGUAUUAUUCGAACUUAAAAAUCACACCUUCCAGCCCGAUGAUUCCAAGAUAAUAACACGAGCAUUAUGAAAAAGAUAUAACUUAUCCCAUUUAAGCUAAGCAAGAGGAUAAUUUAAGAAGCAAAAUAAGAAGAGGAUGAACACCUUAUGCAAGUUUAGUCCUUUGCAAGACUCAUGCUAAAUCAACAGAAGAUGUUAAUUGGUAUUCAAUUAUUCAUUCAGCAAAUUAAGGACUUAAACCGGAUAUAUGAUGAGUAGAGAAAUUUAAUGGAAGGCUACAAACUCAAAAGGGGAAUAUUGUAGAUCAAAGUCGGGAGCAGAGAUCAAAUACAUUAAUCACAUGAGAUUAGGCUAAUAUUCAAUACUUCCUCUUCAAGAAUAGUAGGACAAACAUAGGGCCAAAAAUAAGAUCUUCUUGAGUUAGUCAAUACUUAAGCUAACAGAGAUAAAUUAAAUAGACAAGGAUUGACUACAUAAUUUCAAAUCACCUAGCAAAUUAACUAAAAAACAAUACAAACUGAUUCAAAUUAAGAUGAACUAAAAAAAACUAAACAAACUAUAAUAUUAAACGAGCAUAAUACCAUAAAUGAAUCAAAGCAUCAUAUACACAAAGAACAAAACUACAGAAUAUUACCUCUUCCGGAGCAGCGACCGAAGACAACUAGAUUGAGAGGACAGAGGUUCUUCCACCACAAAAGCCAAGUAUGAAUAGCAAACCAAGAGAAUCUGAGUGGCGACCUUCUCGGAAACUUAGAACAAGAGAGCUAAACAUAAAAUUUUAAGUGUAAAGUCACUAUUGCCAAAGAACUCAAACUAGAAAAAAAACUUCUUUUUUUUUUGGCGCCCCCCCUUUAAACACAUAGAGAAAACGAUCUUAAAUAGAUGAAGAAUAGGGUUGAUUUUUUUUUAGUAGGAAAAACGGAUGAAUUGGAAGAAUUUGAAUUUGAAUUUGAAAUUCAAGUUCUCUUUUGGAUAAGGAUGCUGGAUUUCCGCGAUUUAGUGGGAUUCACUGCGCUGGACUGCUGUUCGUUUCUGGGUAAAGUCACUAUUGCCAAAGAACUCAAACUAGAAAAAAAACUUCUUUUUUUUUUGGCGCCCCCCCUUUAAACACAUAGAGAAAACGAUCUUAAAUAGAUGAAGAAUAGGGUUGAUUUUUUUUUAGUAGGAAAAACGGAUGAAUUGGAAGAAUUUGAAUUUGAAUUUGAAAUUCAAGUUCUCUUUUGGAUAAGGAUGCUGGAUUUCCGCGAUUUGGUGGGAUUCACUGCGCUGGACUGCUGUUCGUUUCUGGGUUCUCCGCGAUUUCGGCUGCUGUCCGCGAUUUCUGGGUUUGCAGCGUCUUGAAUUUUGGUUCUCGCGUUGAGGAAGAAGGAGAAAAGGGUCGGGUCAGAUGUGGUAUUGUUGUAUGUAUGUUUGGAUCGCUGGUUGUAUUGUUGAAAUGGGUUUCUUUUGAAUUGGGUUGUAUUGAGGAAUUGUUGCUGAAGUGGGCUGGUAUUAAGAGUUGAAUAGUGGGCUAGGUUAUUGGUGGAAAAGGAAAUGGGCCGAAAAUAGGGAGUGUUGGGCCGGCUGAUGCUGGAAAAAAGGCCCAAAGUUGGCCUGAAAUAAUUAAAGUAAAUGGUAAGGAAAUUAAUAAAAAGGCCAAAGGAUUGCAAACUUAGCCUACUUAAAUUGAGAGUUAGUCAAAUUGAAUUUAAUUAGCAAAUUCGAC
rnacentral:lncRNA from 1 species